GCAUUGGUGGUUCACUGGUAGAAUUCUCGCCUGCCACGCGGCAGACCCUGGUCCUGUUCCUGGCCAAUGCA
rfam:Danio rerio chromosome 4, GRCz11 reference primary assembly.